AAGUCGUAACAAGGUCUCCGUUGGUGAACCAGCGGAGGGAUCAUUACAGAGUACAACUCUCCAACCCACGCGAACCUACCUUACAGUUGCUUCGGCGGCUCCCGCGCGGCUGUACGGCCCCGCGUUGGCGCCGCCGACGGCACGCCCAACUCUGUUUACUCUGUAUUCUGAACAACAAAACAAUAGUAAAA
rnacentral:misc_RNA from 1 species